rnacentral:rRNA from 1 species
AUUGAACGCUGGCGGCAGGCUUAACACAUGCAAGUCGAGCGGGGUGAUGGUGCUUGCACUAUCACUUAGCGGCGGGCGGGUGAGUAAUGCUUAGGAAUCUGCCUAUUAGUGGGGGACAACAUCUCGAAAGGGAUGCUAAUACCGCAUACGUCCUACGGGAGAAAGCAGGGGAUCACUUGUGACCUUGUGCUAAUAGAUGAGCCUAAGUCGGAUUAGCUAGUUGGUGGGGUAAAGGCCUACCAAGGCGACGAUCUGUAGCGGGUCUGAGAGGAUGAUCCGCCACACUGGGACUGAGACACGGCCCAGACUCCUACGGGAGGCAGCAGUGGGGAAUAUUGGACAAUGGGGGGAACCCUGAUCCAGCCAUGCCGCGUGUGUGAAGAAGGCCUUAUGGUUGUAAAGCACUUUAAGCGAGGAGGAGGCUCUUUUGGUUAAUACCCAAGAUGAGUGGACGUUACUCGCAGAAUAAGCACCGGCUAACUCUGUGCCAGCCGCCGCGGUAA